rnacentral:rRNA from 1 species
ACAUCCAGCGAACUUGGCAGAGAUGCCUUGGUGCCUUCGGGAACGCUGAGACAGGUGCUGCAUGGCUGUCGUCAGCUCGUGUUGUGAAAUGUUGGGUUAAGUCCCGNAACGAGCGCAACCCUUAUCCUUUGUUGCCAGCGAUUCGGUCGGGAACUCAAAGGAGACUGCCGGUGAUAAACCGGAGGAAGGUGGGGAUGACGUCAAGUCAUCAUGGCCCUUACGAGUAGGGCUACACACGUGCUACAAUGGCGCAUACAAAGAGAAGCGACCUCGCGAGAGCAAGCGGACCUCAUAAAGUGCGUCGUAGUCCGGAUCGGAGUCUGCAACUCGACUCCGUGAAGUCGGAAUCGCUAGUAAUCGUGGAUCAGGAUGCCACGGUGAAUACGUUCCCGGGCCUUGUACACACCGCCCGUCACACCAUGGGAGUGGGUUGCAAAAGAAGUAGGUAGCUUAACCUCCGGGAGGGCGCUUACCACUUUGUGAUUCAUGACUGGGGUGAAGUCGUAACAAGGUAAGCGUAGCGAG